CGGAAGCCAAGGGAGCGCUUUUCCCAGGAGCAGGCGCUCAGGACACACUGUGCGAGGAGUUGGGUGCAGGCUGGGAGAAGCUUGAACAAACUGCGCCUGCAGCUGUCUCUGUGAACACCCGAGGUGCUCCCCAGCCCUAGCAAGGCGGAGGGUCACCUCUAACCUGGUCCUGGGGCCACACUUGUUCCUGGUGGCCCAUCACUCGCUUGGCAAGCACCCACCCUGCAGGUACCGGGGCACACGAGGGCAUGAGGCCUGGCAGUCCACGCGCAGGGGAUGUUCUGGAAGAGCAGGGCGGCACCAGACGUGAAUUGGUGACACGCAGGGAACCCCGGGAGGUGGCAAGAUCAGGCGCAGGGAAGGAGGCUGGUCAGCUGUGGGCAGGACGGGGGCUCCUGUGGGAAAGGCUCUCGUGUGGUGGCCUUGGGAGCCGUGCCAGGGACAGCUCUGGGGCCCAAGGGGCGAGUCCUCCUCAGAGGGGGUGAAGCUCUGCAGGGCACCGACGGGCAACGGGUGACCACGUGUCCUGAGCGUGCCUGUGCCAAUGUGCACAUCUGCACACGCGUGUCUGAGCCUCUGUGCGCGUGUGCAGGCACGUGCCCGCGGGUGUCUGUGGUCUCUGCGUGUGUGCAUCUGGCACAUCUGCGCACACGCACGUGGCCUGCAGACCUGCGUCUGUGUCUCGGCGCAGAGCUCCACGUGCCCCUGUGGGUGCACAAGUGUGUCGGGGAGUCAGCACCAGCCAGUCGCGAGCGGAGCCCAGCAGAAGCCCCCCCACUGGCACGGGAAGAGCUGCAACGCGCCUGCGGGUGGCGCCUGGCAUGCGUGUGAGUGUGUGUGAGUGAGACCGCGUGUUCCCCGCCUGCAAGUGCUCUGAACAAAGUCCCCUCCACCUCUCCAAGCCCACCGCCAUCUGUCUCCCCUUCCGCCGGCCAUUUGAGCCAGUGAGGGGCCUCCCAGGCGGGGACCAGAUGGCAGAAUCACGGCCUCCGCUCCCCAGAGGGGGCUGGGCCCAGGCGGCUGCCCUCACUGCUGCAGCCCCUGACCUGCCCGGCACAGCCCUCCCCAGCCGCCCGCGUCCUGGGCAGGCCGCCACUCUCUCCCUGGCGCCUCGUGGCUGUCCUGACCCCUGUCCCUGGGCCCCACCUCAAGUGGCCUUUUACCUCAACCACAUAAAUCACCCUCUGGGUCAGGGCCAGGGGAGGGAGCAGGGCGGGCAGGGCAGGUCCCCCAGGUCCUGCAGACAGAGUGGCUGCCGAGUGACCCCUGACAGCCCUGGCUCUGGGCCUCGGGGCCAGAGGGCAGUUCAGAGGCUCUGGCGGGCCUUGGGCAAUCUCGCUGUCCCCACCUGAAGGGGGCCUGCCCCUGAUCUGGGGGCCCAGGUUAGGGGUGAGGCCACCCUGGCUGUGUCCUGUGGAGCAGGCAGGAGGCCGUGCUGGGUAGCCCUCACCCCACUGGGGUCCUGCUCUCUGGACACAGUGGUCAGUAUGAGAAGGGCAUGCAUACGGUUGGCACGGUCAGUAUAGGAAGGGCAGAGCUGGGUGCUGUGACCUCAGACCCUCAGAUCCUCUGUGCGGUGCCCUGAGAGCCCUCAAGCCAGCUGUGCCGUCCACAGAAAGAGGCCCCCAAGGCCAAGGCUGGACACGCAGGCCCUGAACCAACCACCGGGUUUGAAUUCUCCCUUCCUAGCUGCAAAGGCUUAGACCUGGGACUCCAAGCUCUGGCCCGUGUCCCCAGCCUCACAGUAAGAAGCCCUAGGGCUCCGCCCCCAGGCCUCCCUGAGAAUUCUGAGGCUGCAGAGCAGGACGGCCAACC
rnacentral:lncRNA from 1 species